CAGACUAAAGAAGCUAGAAAGAAAGUAAUUCUACAGAAAAAAAAUACCAUUUCAUUUACUAAUCUCUUUUUGCAUUUUCUUUUUAAUCUGUACAGAAGUUGAUGAAGCACUAAACCAGUGCUAUUCAGAUUUUGUGGAGCACUGCUGGCUUCCUGCUUGCAUCGGCCUCAGAACGACAAGAAGAGAAGGGGAACCUGGUAACCAGGAGCCAAGUCAGUGGGAGGAGAAGGAGCGUCGUCUGAUUAUGGUGAGAUUCAGCUUUUCAAACCCUGCUGCACGGGCUGGUGUUUGGUAAUGAAAAUGGCCCUGAUUUAUUUCUGUUCUAAUUUAUUUUCAGUUGUGAAUUUCCAGUUCUCAGCUCUUCAGUUCCAGACAAGCGUGAGAGACAAGAAAGCAAAGCAGAUCGUCUUCCUGAGAUUAUAUUGAGGUUAUUGUCAAAAAUAACCACCAAGUUCCUAAAUGUGAAUAUGUAUCCUGGGGAGAACAAAGCGUAAGUGUCACAAUAAGCUGCAAAUAAAUGGAGUGGCUGCUUGUAAACA
rnacentral:lncRNA from 1 species